rnacentral:rRNA from 1 species
UACCAGCUCUCCGAGUGGUGUGGAUGUUUAUUGGGCCUAAAGCAUCCGUAGUUGGCUGGACAAGUCCCCUGUUAAAUCCACCGAUUUAAUCGUUGGUGUGCGGGGGAUACUGCUCGGCUAGGGGACGGGAGAGGCAGACGGUAUUUUCGGGGUAGGGGUGAAAUCCUAUAAUCCCGGGAAGACCACCAGUGGCGAAGGCUGUCUGCUAGAACGCGCCCGACAGUGAGGGAUGAAAGCUGGGGGAGCGAACCGGAUUAGAUACCCGGGUAGUCCCAGCUGUAAACGAUGCAGGCUAGGUGCUUGGACGGCCACGUGCCGUUCUAGUGCCGCAGGGAAGCCGUUAAGCCUGCCGCCUGGGGAGUACGGCCGCAAGGCUGAAACUUAAAGGAAUUGGCGGGGAGCACCACAAGGGGUGAAGCUUGCGGUUU